AGCUAGGUGUGGUGGCGUAUGCCUGUAGUCUCAGAUACUUGGAUCACUUGAGCCCAGGAAUUGGAGGUCACAGUGAGCUGUGAUCACGCCACUGUACUCCAUCUAGCCUGGAUGACAGAGCAAGACCCUGUCUCUAAAAAACAUUUAAAAAUAAAUGAAUAGGCCGGGCGUGGUGGCUUAUGCCUGUAAUCCCAGCACUUUGGGAAGCCGAGGCAGGCAGAUCACCCAAGGCCAGGAGUUUGAGACUAGCCUGGCCAACACGGCGAAACCCUGUCUCUACUAAAAAUAUAAAAAAUUAGCUGGGCGUGGUGGCAGGCGCCUGUAAUCCCAGCUACUGGGGAGGCUGAGGCAGGAGAAUCGCUUGAACCCUGGAGGGGGAGGCUGCGGUGAGCCGAGAUUGCGCCAUUGUACUCCAGCCUGGGCAACAAGAGCGAAACUCUGCCUCAAAAAAAUAAUAAUAAUAAAGUAAAUAAAUAAAUAUAAAUAAAUACAUCACUAAAAGUUGGCUUAAGAAAGAAAUAUGCAAUUAUAUGUCAUGUAAAUGAUUAUAGAAUUAGAUAUCAUAGGUAUAAAUCAGUAAUUUUAAUAUUUCAGAAAAAUAGAGCAUUCCAUUUACCUAAAUAA
rnacentral:lncRNA from 10 species